UGGGGAAUAUUGGACAAUGGGGGCAACCCUGAUCCAGCCAUGCCGCGUGAGUGAUGAAGGCCCUAGGGUUGUAAAGCUCUUUCAACGGUGAAGAUAAUGACGGUAACCGUAGAAGAAGCCCCGGCUAACUUCGUGCCAGCAGCCGCGGUAAUACGAAGGGGGCUAGCGUUGUUCGGAAUUACUGGGCGUAAAGCGUACGUAGGCGGACUGAUCAGUCAGGGGUGAAAUCCCGGGGCUCAACCCCGGAACUGCCUUUGAUACUGUCAGUCUUGAGUUCGAGAGAGGUGAGUGGAAUUCCGAGUGUAGAGGUGAAAUUCGUAGAUAUUCGGAGGAACACCAGUGGCGAAGGCGGCUCACUGGCUCGAUACUGACGCUGAGGUACGAAAGCGUGGGGAGCAAACAGGAUUAGAUACCCCCGUAGUCC
rnacentral:rRNA from 1 species